rnacentral:rRNA from 1 species
AGCAGCCGCGGUAAUUCCAGCUCCAAUAGCGUAUAUUAAAGUUGUUGCAGUUAAAAAGCUCGUAGUUGAAUUUCGGAAUCUGUCCAUCGGUCGGGCUUCACUGUCCGUACUGGUGUGGUGGGUUCUUACCUUCUGAAUAACCAGCAUGCCAUUCACUUGGUGCGUUGGGGAAGCAGGACUAUUACCUUGAAAAAUUAGAGUGCUCAAAGCAGGCCAGUGCCUGAAUACAUUAGCAUGGAAUAAUAAAAUAGGACGGCAUGGUUCUAUUUUGUGGUUUCUAGGAUCACCGUAAUGAUUAAUAGGGAUAGUUGGGGGCAUUAGUAUUCAAUUGUCAGAGGUGAAAUUCUUGGAUUUAUUGAAGACUAACUUCUGCGAAAGCAUUUGCCAAGGAUGUUUUCAUUAAUCAAGAACGAAAGUUAGGGGAUCGAAGACGAUCAGAUACCGUCGUAGUCUUAACCAUAAACUAUGCCGACUAGGGAUCGGACGAUGUUAAUUUUAAUGACUCGUUCGGCG